rnacentral:rRNA from 1 species
AGAAUGAACGUUGGCGGCGUGGAUUAGGCAUGCAAGUCGUACGGGCCGCAAGGCCAGUGGCGCAAGGGUGAGUAAGGCGACGGUAACCAACCCCAUGGGUGGGUAUAGCCGCGGGAAACCGCGGGUAAUCCCCAGCGAUGUGCGGGGCCGGCAUCGGCCCUGCACCAAAGCUCAGGCGCCGUGGGACGGGCCGUCGUGGUAUUAGGUAGUUGGCAGGGUAACGGCCCACCAAGCCUGCGAUGCCUACCGGGCGUGCGAGCGUGGCCCGGCACACUGGGACUGAGACACUGCCCAGACUCCUACGGGAGGCUGCAGUCGAGAAUCUUCGGCAAUGGGGCGCAAGCCUGACCGAGCGACGCCGCGUGGAGGACGAAGGCCUUCGGGUUGUAAACCGCUUUCAGCAGGGGCGAAUUUAAGACGGUACCUGCAGAAGAAGCGCCGGCUAACUACGUGCCAGCAGCCGC